AAACUGGAAGUGUGUUUGCAAAGGAUAACAAGUUAUUUUUGUUAAUGAGAGUUUGCAUAAUUUACCUAUAUAACACCGUAAGUGACAGUCUAAAAUAAGAUACUUACUCUAAGGUAUAUUUUUAAAACAGAAAUAACUGAAAUAUCACAUUUGUAGGGCAGGCAUUCACAACUAACAUAUUGUAUUCCCUUUUAAAUGUAGAUCUCUUUAAAGCCUCAUGGACUUUUAGAGGGUAGGAAAUAAGAAUUGAAUGGGUAGUAAGUCAGCCUUUCGAGUAGACAUUUACUGCUCAUCCUGGCUUAUUAAGAGCUGUAGGUUGGAAGAAACAUGUAUUUGAGUAUUCCAGUUGCA
rnacentral:lncRNA from 1 species